GACGAACGCUGGCGGCGUGCUUAACACAUGCAAGUCGAACGGAAAGGCCCUGCUUUUGUGGGGUGCUCGAGUGGCAAACGGGUGAGUAACACGUGAGUAACCUGCCCUUGACUUUGGGAUAACUUCAGGAAACUGGGGCUAAUACCGGAUAGGAGCUCCUGCUGCAUGGUGGGGGUUGGAAAGUUUCGGCGGUUGGGUAUGGACUCGCGGCUUAUCAGCUUGUUGGUGGGGUAGUGGCUUACCAAGGCUUUGACGGGUAGCCGGCCUGAGAGGGUGACCGGCCACAUUGGGACUGAGAUACGGCCCAGACUCCUACGGGAGGCAGCAGUGGGGAAUAUUGCACAAUGGGCGGAAGCCUGAUGCAGCAACGCCGCGUGCGGGAUGACGGCCUUCGGGUUGUAAACCGCUUUCGCCUGUGACGAAGCGUGAGUGACGGUAAUGGGUAAAGAAGCACCGGCUAACUACGUG
rnacentral:rRNA from 1 species